rnacentral:rRNA from 1 species
GAUGAACGCUAGCUACAGGCUUAACACAUGCAAGUCGAGGGGAAACGAUAUUGGAAGCUUGCUUCUGAUAGGCGUCGACCGGCGCACGGGUGAGUAACGCGUAUCCAACCUGCCCAUCACUUGGGGAUAACCUUGCGAAAGUAAGACUAAUACCCAAUGACGUCUCUAGAAGACAUCUGAAAGAGAUUAAAGAUUUAUCGGUGAUGGAUGGGGAUGCGUCUGAUUAGCUUGUUGGCGGGGUAACGGCCCACCAAGGCGACGAUCAGUAGGGGUUCUGAGAGGAAGGUCCCCCACAUUGGAACUGAGACACGGUCCAAACUCCUACGGGAGGCAGCAGUGAGGAAUAUUGGUCAAUGGACGAGAGUCUGAACCAGCCAAGUAGCGUGCAGGAUGACGGCCCUAUGGGUUGUAAACUGCUUUUAUAAGGGAAUAAAGUGGGAGUCGUGACUCUUUUUGCAUGUACCUUAUGAAUAAGGACCGGCUAAUUCCGUGCCAGCAGCC